AUGAAUAAUUCAGCACAGGAGAGUGCCUGGCUCUUCUCUGGUAGCUUCACAAUGGGUCACAAGUGACUAAGCUCAGAAGAGGAUGUUUCCUCAGUACGGUUAGUCUUCCUUUAACACUACUGAAUUAGCACUUCUGUUUUAUUGCACCCUGAAGCUAAAAUGGUUAUUAGGUUACAGAACAAGCAAAUUAUUGCUAAAUGCCUUGGGCAGAUUAUUCAAGAGCUUCUGACUAUCACUUUAUUAACUACACUUUAUGUCAUCAGAAAAUCUUAAGGUUGGAAAAUUGGUAAAAAAGACAAAUGCUACCAUAAAAAUCAAAAAGGAGUCUGCAGAGGUAAGAAAGGAAAGUAUCAUUAAGGAACUGUCUAGGUUUGGCAUGUAUGUUAUGUGGCAUGAGCAUAACACAUCAGCCAUUGUUCUUAUGUCACAGCUGUUCAAAUUGUUUAUGUAGGAUUUAUUUUUUAUUAUGAGAUGAUUAAAAAAUACAAUUUGAAAUUUAACUUGAAUAUAAUCUGCAAAAAAUGUUAAAAAAUCCCCAUUCUGAAGCUCAGUGGUGCUGCAAAGAGAUCCUUUCAAUUGCACUAAGCUUGUUCUUUACAGACACCCGAGUGAGGGCAAACAGGGGACUAUUUUCCUGGACCAAUUUCACAGUUAAAUUACCCUCUCUAACCCGGCUUAGAAAUUUUAGAAGGAGCUCUUGCUGCUUGAUUAGUUCUUCGUGAUCCUACCUUCCAGAUACAGGGCUCUGAACAGCAGUGCCUUGACUGGAGUCAUUACACUCAGACUUUUAGGAGCCUUCCAGGAGCUCCAUCAUACGGAGCCUUAUGAUGCUGUCCCAGAAUAUUGUUUUACAGAUGAGUUUUACUGACCUGGUGUAUAGUGCAGGUACCUCAGCAGGUGCCUCAGGGUAACUGAGUGGCUCAAUGGCAUGUCGGUCUAAGCAGGAGAAUGAGCAGCAGCUCUUAGAAGUGCAAUUGCAGCCAAAGUUAUCACCUUGGGAAAUUAGAGUCUAUGUCACUUUGGGACAUAGUUUUUCAGCCUGAACACUUAUAGGUGUAUCUCCUGGGCAUUUAAACCUGCCUGCAAGUUCCUCUGAGCCACUGCUACAACACAUUCUCUGUCUUCUUCCUCUUCCAUGAGUUGGAAGGGGUGACCAGAGCCCUGAUGUGAAGGAUGGAGGUGCAACAGACUGACCCAGGUGCAAAAGUGGAUGGACAGUGCCUGAAGACAGCCCAACACCAGCCUGUCACAGAUGGAUGAAUCCAUCUAUUUGGAUGACUGCAGUAGGAGCUUUAAGGGCAACAGGGUUACUAGCAGCCUUAAGGAGAAAGGCAGAAGAGGAAGUGACAAUGCUUUCACAGAGCUGACUGCAAAAUAGAUUGUUAGCAGGCAAGUAGGGAAUUUUAAAGAGAUUGAAUGAUACUGUGGAAUGUGAUGUGAUAUGGAAGAUGUGAUAUGAAAACCUUAACGUGUGUCGGGAUUUUUUCACAAUAGUUACUGUAAAGACAGUUUCUCUUUUGGGAAAACUCACAACCCUGGAAGCAUUUGUAACAGUAUCAAGAACACUUUUGCUUAAGUAGUACUGUCUUGCAGCAUAGAUUCAUCAGAUCUUGUAAGACAGACAGGUUCAGGCUGUAAGAUAGCCAGGUUCAGUAUUUCACUGAGGAGACCCAGAAAGAACAUUUAUAGCUGAAUGGAUGUUAGAAAUCUCUAGGUGGCAUUUUUCUUCUGACACAGAACCAGCUGUGUGGUGGAAAAGUUAUUGCACCUUAGCAAAGUAUACAAGUGUUCUGGUUACAGGUAGUGUGCUUGAUUUGUGGGGGCUAGUUGAACCAUGCCAAAAUUUGACUUCAGGAAAUUCAGUUGCAUCUAUCCAGCUUUAUUUGGCAUUUUCAAAGCUUGUCUUUGCUCCCUUUUCUAUGAAGCUUUCCAGCUUUCUGUUGUGUUUCUAAGGGCAUCCUCCAGCAGUGGCUUUGCUGUGGCAAACAGAAUAAUCUUAAGGUUGCACAUCAUUAUAAUAUGGUAUUGAGUUUCUGAAUCUAACCUAGGCACUGUGUAGACACUGGUGGUGUAAACCUAGCUUUGAAACAACUGCUUAAAUUUAAACGGUGAGUUAAAGGAAAAUCUCCCAGAAGGUGACAAAAGUCUUGCAUUUUUCUGAUAAUGUUCCUUAAAGGGUAUUGCUGUCCUGUGGUUACAGGUACACACGCAUUGUAUACACUGGUAUAUAUAUGCAUAUACAAAUGCUAACACCAGAUGAUUAUCAUACGAUUAUAAGAAACUUUGGAAACCUGUUUGAUUCAUGUAGAAUCUCUUUCCACUGUUUGAUUCAUAAAGAAUUAGCUAAGCUGUCUCAUGAGGAUGAAUAACAAAAUUCAUGUUUUGGGAACCAGUGUUUCAUUAACUAAGAAAUGAUUUUGAAAGACACUCAUUGAAGAGUCAAUGACUGGAAAACGGAAAUCCAGGUGGCAAAAACCAUUCAUGUGUGGAAGCUAGCUUCCUCUGCCUUCAGCUAAAGUUUUGGUGUUCAGACUUUGUUAAAAACUAGAUUGCUUGCUCAUAAGAUGGAAGUUUUUCCCAUUUCCCUCUCAGUGACACUUGAGUUUAGCACUCCCAUCUAAUUAACUAAUUGCUUUUUUCAUAAUAAUAAAAUAUGCAUUGGCCAAAGACAGGCUUUACUGGCAAAGAAGACAGGAAGAAUGGGCUUGUUAUUAGAACUUCAUAUGAAAGCAUUAUAAAGAAUAUGUAUAGUUUUAUAACUUAUUUAUAUGUUUAUUUCCAAGCUAAAGUAUUGAAACUAACCUUUACUUGGAUUUGGACUGGGAAAAAAAUACUGAUGCAUUUUCUUUUUGAAAAUCUUUGCAUUCUCAUGGUAAGCAUUUUUCUCCUUUUCUAUAUUCUUACAUUUUUUCUCAAAACCAGAAGGUGCUUUCUUCAGUUCUCAAAUAAAAAGUUUGAGCAUUCCUUUUAACAAAACAUCACUCAGUACACUUAGUAGGACUUUCACCGUAAUUUCCACUGUGACUCGCUCUGUUCAGCUUUGCUAGACAUAACCACCACAAUGACCCUGUGGCUGGAAAUCAUGUCCUAAGGCAGGGAGGUGGCUUUGAUACCUCCAAGCUGCUCUGGCCCAGUCAUUGUUGUUUAGACAGUCCCCUAUGUAAUCAGGCUCCACCUUAACCUGGAAAUUAGGACUGAUGGAAGUACAUCUACUCCCAAGUCUCCAUGCCUAUAUGAGUGAUGUCUACUGGAGUUCAAAUGUAAUAAAGUCCUCAGUGCAGGGAGGAUAGUGCUACUGGCUGCAAACUAUUUAAACCAGAAAUUCCUGUCCUUUUUAGGCUGUAUCUUCUGUUUCACUGAGCAAACAGUAGAAUUCAUUCUGGUUCAGAAACCCAAAACAUGAUCUACACCCCUUUUGAAGUCAUUGGAACUAACUGCAAGAUCCUGAUGUACAUCAAUCUUCAACAGAGAAAGUGUGGCCUAAUGAGGUGAGGUAGCUUAACUCUGGCUGCCCCCUGAAUAAAUCAGCAACAGUUAGGAGCUGUAAACUCUCUCAUCCUGGUGAACUUCCUUGACAUAAUUCCAUACCCAUGCUGAGGGCUGAAGUUGGAUCUCAACUGAAGGGGUUUUUUUCUUCUCUGUUAUUGCAUGUCUGAAAAUGUUGUUUUAUUAGACAGCUUUGCUUCUAAGAGAGAAAAAAAAGCUGAAAUAAAGGUCGAAGAAUAAAAUCCACCUCUGAAACUUGGAGCAGCAUGAAAAUGAAAGCUGUCAUGAAGAAUGUCUGUCUUUUAAAUUACUUAUGCAUCACUCAACUUGGACAAUAAGCAAACAUCUGGGUCUGGUGGAGCAGGUUCACUGUCUGGAGGAAAAUGGUUUACAUAGGGUGAUUGUUUAUAUUUCCCAUUUAUUGUCUGACUGAACGUGUAAUAAAAGACAGUCCAAGUGAGAGUGAGGUCAUUAGCAUCUGUUAAUAUGGAAGGAUUUCACAAUUUCACAUAUCCUGGCCAGAAGAUGGGAUGGAAAAUUGGAGAGUGCGUAAAAAAGAUAAAUUAAAAAUGACAUCCACCCUAACUUUCAUUACAUUAUUAAAGCUCUUUCCAUCUGAUCUCAAACGCCAUGUAGAUGGGUCAAUUUGCAGAUUGCUGUGGACAUCCUAAUGUUCAUGUAGGCACUUCAAGACAAGCUGUCAUAAAUAGUUAAGUUGCCCUGGGAGCAGCGCCAAAAUGCAUUUCAGUGAUGACUGCAGAGAUGCCUGCUAAAAAGCAAACAGCACAUUAGCAGCCCUCAGAGUUAUUGUGCAAAUGGAGUGUGAAAUUCCAGUCCAUUGCUCUGCACUAUAACUUUUUGUCUCCUUGAUGAUGAUUAAGAGAAGCUUUGCUUGAUUUGAUGGUGGGUGGAAAGAAGGGUGUGAAAAAUGAUAAAAAACUCCUUUGGAUGUUUCACUUGACCUUCAGAAAACUCCAAGGGAGGGUUGAUUGUCUGAUCUACACACAGAGGAAUUAAAUGGCUUUGUUUGUUCUAAAACCUGGUGCUGAAUUUAGAAGCCCAGGGAUGCAUGGUGUGGAAUUGCCAUAAAAUAAAAUGUCCCAAGCAGUUAUUAAAUAUUUAAAAAGCAAUCUGAACAUAACUGUUGGUUGAAAUGAAUGAAGGGGGAAAGAUCGUACUGUAGCCCUCGGGAAGAAAUGCUAUGCUUAAAACUCACAAGAUUGGAACUGAUCUGUAGUUCUGUGUUAAUUUACUGGCAAUUAGUCUUUUUACAUUUUCAUUAUUAUUAUUAAUGCUAACACUUCAUACUUUUAGAACAUCUUAUAUCUCAAAGUGUUUAAAAUAAUUAAGCCUCCUAGUCAUAGAACGAUUACUGCUGGUGGAGGAUAAAGUGGAGCCUUAAAAGGUGGGUAAGUAUCAUCCUGUUUUAUCAUCCACCACUGUGGUGGAGUGGGAUGUAGUGAUUGCAUCAGUGGGAUGAGCUUGCAUCAGUGAAAAUGCAGGGUCAGAACAUAAAUUGUUUGACCUGUAGCUCCACAUAACUGUGCUGCCUGUCCAAAGCAUUAGUUUCAUCUCCCUUCUGCUACCAACUGAUAGGCACAGGAGUAAUGGUCUGAGCAAUUGACCCAAAGAUUGCUGAAAUCAGUGGCAAUACUUUGAAGGAGCUUUAGAGUAGCCUUAAAAUUUGCUCUUUACCUGCAUGUGCAUUUUGUUUUCUGCUCACUAAAUACAAGGACCCUCUAUAUUUUAAACAAUAAACCCCUCCAAAAUUUUAAACUACCUUUGAAAGCUCAGUGGCAGAGCCAAAACAGAAAAAAGCGGGGGUCUAGUCUUCUGCUUAAGCACUAGGCUAAAUUAUUCCUGUAAAUUGCUUUUAGUUUCACUCGCUGGAUAAAAGAUAUUACAGUGAUCAAAUACAUACACUAGACCAAGCCAGAUUUCUUCCAAAGAACAGAAUUCAGGCAAAGCAUUUGUGAAUUUGUCUCUACCCCAAUUUUUACAGAAAACAGGAUGAAUGUCUUUGAUUUGCAGUGAAAAGCUUUUAUCAGUCAACAUUUCUUACUGAAAAAGAAAAAUAAAUAGAAAAUAAGGGUCAAUCAGUAACUGAAAAAGAGCAGGGAAAAGUUAACUGUGGAUCUUAUUACAUCCUAUGUAGUUUUUCAAUAGUUGCUACAAGUUUUGCUAGAUUUAGAGGCUAGAUUAUCUGCCUCUGGAGAGAGAAGAUAAGAUUUUUUUUCUGCCAGUUGAACAGUUAUGCUAAGUAGUAUGGGAGAGGUCCAUGAAGGGUUUAGUGAGGCUUUGAGAGUAUGCUAUGAUCAAUUAACUAGAUCAGUCUAAUACCGAAAUUAAAGACAUUAUCCAGGGAUCACAGAAGGCAAGGAAACUACCCCAAAUGAGAGUCACAUCCUAUCUAAAUGCAAAGAAACAAAGUAAGAAAAAGAAGACAUGAAUUAUAUUUUCACUGCUAAAGUUGAAGCAAUACAUUUCCAACUUAAAAUUGAAACUCUAUUGUAUUGGAGAGCUUCAUAGCUGUAAAUAAUAAAAAUAUUACCUUUCCUACUGCCUGCCGAGCAUAAACAAAAUGAAAAAAAAAGAAAAAGAAAAAAGAAUGUUGAGCGUCAUAUAUUUUGUUUCACUGGCUUUGGGGAUGAACUUAAAGGAUAGCCAUGGCCUGUUUCUCUGCCUCAAUUGACAGGCGGGAAUAGGCUGAUGAAUACUUGCUUUCCAUCAUAAGACAGUACAUGGAGAAGCCAGUUUGAAAUGUGGAUGACUUUCACUGCACAUUUUCAUGCGUGUGGGACAUAGCAGAGUAUGGAGAGGGAGUGUUUGGCUCGACUGACUGAGCAUUGGGUCCAAGGGUCAGACAUAAUGAAAUAGUCCCAGGCUUGCUCAGCCACAGGGGCUGAGAUCCUCUUUGUUUAAGAGUGACUUUCCUUUGUUCCAGUUAAACUGUUCCUGUUGUAUAUAUAAAGGUGAUAGACUGCAGAACCACCAGCAUUUUGCCAGAGUCAAAUCCAUGUAUAGAUGCACAGAAGCUUGGAGUAAAUUUCUUUUCUCUAAAAUUCAUAACACCUUAAUUAUUCCCAGUAUGGAAUUUUUCAUAUACUAAGUAUGUAAAGAACACCAGCUGAGACUAACAGGCAUUUGGAACAGGGAGUAACUUUGGGUAAACACUGUAGAGUUAAGAAUUUGUUUGACAAAUUUAGCCUCCUUCUGUAUUUGCAGAUUAUUCAUGAACAGACUUUGAUUUGUUCAAAUCUGCAGAGCUGGUCAAACAGAAUUUGCCAAAUCCUAGGUUCUUUCAGCAGUGUCCUUGACCUGGUUUGGGAAAUAUAUUUGUGCUUGAAUAUAUCCAGCUAAUAUCAGAAGUGAAUAUAGUUUAAAGGAGCAUAAUGAAAUAAGAUGGCUUUUGAAUGAGUUUUCAAUUCUGAACUUGACUUAUCAUCACUUUUGUUGCUGUUCACCUGACUGGAUGAACAAGGUGUCUGCCUCACAGCAGGCUGGGUACUUACCUGAAAGAAAUAUUUUGACUUUUCUACCUAGAUUACCUUCAAAGUUUUAUGAAUAUGAAAAGAUACAAACACAGUUGAAUAUAACCAGAAUUCUAAUUGUUUUCAAUAUAGUUUCAGCUAUGAACUGACUUUCAGCUUUGCUAUAUCUUGAAACAAAUUCAGUGGUUUAUUUGAACACAGUUUAGUCUCUUGGCUGCUCAAGAGUGUCACUCACAGAUAUUGCUUGUUUUUUUUUUCACAAACUCACAGAGGAUUUUCAAGCCAGUUGCAUAAAUGGGAUAUAAAUGUGUUCAUGUCCCUUUCUUUCUAUAAAUGCUUUUGCAAGUAUAAAAAAUCUAUGCAAGUAAUUACUAAAUCCUAUACAAUUAGUCCAUAGAUCCUGUAAAAGAGGAUUCAUAAAUUUUAUUCAAGCAAUGUGUCUAAAAACUUUUAAAGUGUCUGUCUUGUUCUGUCUGUUUAGUGUAUUUGUUUCAUAUAUGCUCUAUGAAUCAGAAUAGAGAUUUGAACUUAAUAUAUAAACCUUUUAAAUUAUUACUACCUAUGCUAUGUGAUUAGUAUAAAAAAUAAUCAAGUUCUGUUGAACUUUUACCAGCUGGUGUGCUAAAUCCCUGGGGAUGAUAAAGCUGCUACAAAGCACAUUCAAAUCCCAGCAAAGUCAGAUCUUUUGACUUUCUGAGGUUCUGUUCCUAAAAUGAACACUAUACUUUUAUCCUACAUGCUGUAUGCAGUUUCAUCAGGAUAAGGUCUGGAGAAAUGCUUUAAGAAUGGGUUUCUGGCAGGUGUAUAUGACAUUUAAAGAGGUAUUUUCUAUAUUAGAAAUUUACUGCAUGUCUCUCCAAGUAAACUUUUUUAAGAGCGCUUACUUUGUCUAUGAACUUUGUCUAUUUUAAACAAUGAAUCAAAUUUACUAAGAUAAUUUCACAAGGUCCCUUUAAAUCAAUUUUGUUAUUCCUCACCCUCCAUGACCCCCUCUACCUUCCAUCCCGAUUGAAUACAGUGUGAGAAACGCUGCUGGAAGUUCAGAAUUUCAUAAAUGCUCAGGAUAUAAGUAGGAAAUGUGAAGACAGGUAUCACUCUGGGUAUUAGCAGCAAUUGAAUUUCCAUGUGUUGCAUUAUUAGUUCUUUUGUAAACACUGUUUAAUUAGAAAGUAAAUCAGAUGUGAAUUGCAAAUGGUGGCUCUAAAUACAUCCCAGCAAUAAUUAUUUAGAAGCUAAUAAUUUACAGCAGAAGUCUGAGAAAUGUUUUAACUCUAUGUGUUCAAUAUAAUAAUAGCCAAUUUUGAUUUCUACUUGAUGUUUACAAAUGAAUUAAUACGUUGUUUAGGUGGCUUUUUAUAGCUUUUUGGCUUUUUGGACUGUUUCAAAUAAACUGUGCAGGAGAGUCCUCGAUGGAAGAAAAUCUUGGAUAAUAAAAACCAGAGCUGGAAUUUCUUUGUCUUAUAAACUGGAUGGGUUAUCUCCCGUAGAGCUGGAUGGACAAUUACCAAGGAUUUUGAUUUUUAACACUAUCAUACAUCAUGUAAUGACUAUUAUACAUUCCACUACAGUUUUUAGAUUGAUGAAUAUUAUUGUGGUCUGGAAAUCUCAAGAUAUUCAAGGAAAAUACUGCAGAUGGUGACAUAUCUCUCCAGCAUGCUGUAACAUAAGAUAGCCUGAACCACUCAGAGAAUUCAUGAGUGGAUUGCUACAAGAUGAGAAGAAAACAGGAAGAGUAGAUCGGAGUGUUAUCUUCUUGGUUAUGGGACACAAACAGACAUGUUGAGGAAAAUGUCAGGUAUGUAAGGUCUCACCUUUUUUAAGAGCUGAAGGAGUUAUAGAUAACCCAGUCAGGAGCACAGAUCUUUCCUUAGUCUAGAGUUUUAUCUCUGAGCAUGUUUCUUUGCAUACAAAUCUUUCCAGCACUCAAUUUGUUUUUCUAUAAGAGCUAGAAACAGAGCAAGUCUGUAAAGAAGAAAAUUAAAAAUAAAAUUUAAAAGUGAUUCUGACAUCAAAUGAAACAUCAAACUGGGCUUCCCCAGCAUGAUUCUUCUGACAUGAUACCUCAAAAUUGGAAUUUCUACUAUCUUGCAUUCUCCUGUUAGACUGCAAGGGCUGCUGGUCUCUUUUGUGAUUUGCUUUUUAACCUCACCGAGGUUUGUCCCUGACAUGUUCUCUCUUUCUCUUGAAUGGGAGAAUUGAUCUUAAGGGAAAGUUGGGCAUAGCUGUGCAACUUGUGCUCUGGUCACCUGCUGUCCCCAUGAGAUGACCCACUGAGGCACAGUGGGCUCAUCUGUAACAUGCCUGCGACAAGAGAAGUCUCUUUUGGCCUCUCAGGUCUUGGUGUUGGUCCCCAUGAGCAGUGUAUGAAGGUCAGGGAACAAAACCUCUCCCAUUGUUUUGGGACUGUAUAAUCUCUCCUCUUAAUUAUUUUGGCUCUUCCUCUUUCUGUGAAGAAGAGAGGAAAAGAGGAAUAUGCUUUGCAGCACAACUGUAAUGGAGGUAGGAGGUUGAGAGUGUACCUCCAGUGGCUCUGGCACUGACAGGAAAACAGGUGCUGACAUGAAGACAUGUCCCCUGUCUGGUUCCUGCCUUUAGAAUACUGUAGGCUCCUUUCACAGCUUCUCAAACAGCAUCUUUAGGACACAUGUUCAAAGUGCUUCUUGCAAGAGUUGUAAGUAUCAAUUAAUUUCUGAUGAGAGAUUCUGUGUUUAGUCUCCAUGGGGUUUUCCAUAAGGUGUAUAGCUGGCUGAUGUCAAGAACUAUUACAAUCACACACUCUCGAAGUGGUGUAAUGAGAUUUUCUUCCUUUAUCUUCAGUGUUUCUCCUCAACAUUUGCCAUCAAGACACUGUUUAUGAUUAAUUCAUUCCUCUGAUUAUGAUGUAAUUUACAAGUUAGAAUUUUGAAUAAUAGAUUCUAGGUUGUUUAAAACUUUGUGAGAAAAUCUCACAAGUACGGAUUAAAAAAUUUGAAGAAGCCUUUUGUUUAACUGAGCAGGAUUCUUUCUUAUGCAGGUCAGUCCUGGGGUAUUGUAAAAAUUCUUAACUAAAUCUAAUAUUUAGGUCACAUUUUAAAACACAACUUUCCUGAAAGCUUAAAAUAGACAAAAAUUCAUGUAAAUACUUAAGGAUAUUUACUGCCCAUGAAUCUUGUAGAAUAUAAAUGACUACAAGCAUCUGUAUUCUGAGAAGUAAGCAAUAUAUUGGACUUGGUUAUUUUCAUUUUCUUUUCCCAAGUUCAUUCAUCAUGCACCUGCCAGUGAAAUCCAUCUACUUUCCAGUCCAUCAAAUAAACUUGUAAUAGCAUUUGGUUUUGACUGAUUUUGAAUAACAACUCUCAAAACAAGAUGGAAAUUUGGUAAACGUUAUUUGUAAAUCUGGUCCAAAACAGAUGUUUCCUAUCAGGACAAAGCUGUUUUCAGUUCUUUUCUGCCCUUACCUAGUCAUUCUUGCCCUGUGGUAGCAAUGUCUUGCUUUUACACCCAUCAUUCUGAUAGUAAAACUGUUAUUUAGGGGUCCUCCAUAAACCUGAUGACUAAAAUGUUCUGAUUUAAUAAAAAGUCAGACAGCAAAAGAUUGUUUUAAAGACUUGAGUAAUUUUGCAACCAAUGCUAGCAUUUCAUGGAGCUAUAUUCUUAAUAUCCUGUAAGAAUUGAUUCAUACACAGGUAAACCCAGAUGACCAAACCAUGGCUAAAGUAUUAAGGAAAAGCUUAUUCUGAAGUUAGAAACCCCAAAUACACUGCUAAGUGAAAACUAAGCAGGGCCAAAAAGCAGCCCUGUGAGUCCUGUUCCGGUGCCUUUAUAACAACACCUUUUGCAUGCUCACAACUUCAAAGAAAUAAUCUCCUCUGUGCUUUAUGGUUUCUUUCUCUCCCCGAGAGGCCUCCAACAAAUGUGAGAACAUUUAUCUCUUCUUGCAAUAGGGGACUUAACUUCUCAAAACAGACAGGCAAAAAUAAGUAGUACUGUUCAGAGGAAAGAAUUUUCUCCCACAGUGGGUUUUUUCUAGGCCCAGUUUUCCAACAGUGAAAACCUCCUUGAGCAAAAUUCUUUUUCCUCCUCGAAUAAAUCUUUGGCUUCAACUUUCUUUCCCUACAUAUCCUGAUUUUUAAAUCAAGGGAAUAGAUGCCUUCAUGCUUAGAAGAAGGCAUAAACUGAUUAUUAAAUGAUAGAAUAAAAAUUAUGGCUGGGUUCCAAAA